UACGGAGGGUGCGAGCGUUGUCCGGAUUUAUUGGGUUUAAAGGGUGCGUAGGCGGCUCUGUAAGUCUGGGGUGAAAGCCCGUUGCUCAACAACGGAACUGCCCUGGAAACUGCCGAGCUUGAGUACAGACGAGGGUGGCGGAAUGGAUACUGUAGCGGUGAAAUGCAUAGAUAGUAUCCAGAACCCCCGAUUGCGAAGCAGCUGCCUAGACUGUAACUGACGCUGAGGCACGAAAAGCGUGGGGAGCGAACAGG
rnacentral:rRNA from 1 species